rnacentral:tRNA from 1 species
AAAAAGAUAAGUUAAAUAAACUGUUUGAUUCAUGAUCAAAAAAUACACUUUUGUGUUCUUUUUA